GCCCUACGGGACGCAGCAGUGGGGAAUAUUGCACAAUGGGGGGAACCCUGAUGCAGCGACGCCGCGUGAGUGAAGAAGUAUUUCGGUAUGUAAAGCUCUAUCAGCAGGGAAGAAAAUGACGGUACCUGACUAAGAAGCCCCGGCUAACUACGUGCCAGCAGCCGCGGUAAUACGUAGGGGGCAAGCGUUAUCCGGAUUUACUGGGUGUAAAGGGAGCGCAGACGGCUGAGCAAGUCUGGAGUGAAAGGCGGGGGCCCAACCCUCGGACUGCUCUGGAAACUGUAAAGCUGGAGUGCAGGAGAGGU
rnacentral:rRNA from 1 species